GCCUACGGCCAGACCACCCUGAGAACGCCCCAUCUCGGAAGCUAAGCAAGGUCACGCCUGGUUAGUACUGGGAUGGGAGACUGCGUGGGAAUACCGGGUGCUGUAGGCU
rnacentral:rRNA from 1 species